rnacentral:rRNA from 1 species
UACGUAGGGGGCAAGCGUUGUCCGGAAUCAUUGGGCGUAAAGCGCGCGUAGGCGGCCCGGUAAGUCCGCUCUGAAAGUCCAGGGCUUAACCCUGGAAAGCGGGUGGAUACUGCCGGGCUUGAAUCCGGAAGAGGCGAGUGGAAUUCCUGGUGUAGCGGUGGAAUGCGCAGAUAUCAGGAGGAACACCAGCGGCGAAGGCGGCGCUCUGGGCCGGUACUGACGCUGAGGAGCGAAAGCGUGGGGAUCAAACAGG